ACACAUGCAGUCGAACGGAUCCUUCGGGAUUAGUGGCGGACGGGUGAGUAACACGUGGGAACGUGCCUUUUGGUUCGGAACAACUCAGGGAAACUUGAGCUAAUACCGGAUAAGCCUUUCGAGGGAAAGAUUUAUCGCCAUUAGAGCGGCCCGCGUAGGAUUAGCUAGUUGGUGGGGUAAAGGCCCACCAAGGCUACGAUCCUUAGCUGGUCUGAGAGGAUGAUCAGCCACAUUGGGACUGAGACACGGCCCAAACUCCUACGGGAGGCAGCAGUGGGGAAUCUUGCGCAAUGGGCGAAAGCCUGACGCAGCCAUGCCGCGUGAAUGAUGAAGGUCUUAGGAUUGUAAAAUUCUUUCACCGAGGACGAUAAUGACGGUACUCGGAGAAGAAGCCCCGGCUAACUUCGUGCCAGCAGCCGCGGUAAUACGAAGGGGGCUAGCGUUGCUCGGAAUUACUGGGCGUAAAGGGAGCGUAGGCGGAUAGUUUAGUCAGAGGUGAAAGCCCAGGGCUCAACCUUGGAAUUGCCUUUGAUACUGGCUAUCUUGAGUACGGAAGAGGUAUGUGGAACUCCGAGUGUAGAGGUGAAAUUCGUAGAUAUUCGGAAGAACACCAGUGGCGAAGGCGACAUACUGGUCCGUUACUGACGCUGAGGCUCGAAAGCGUGGGGAGCAAACAGGAUUAGAUACCCUGGUAGUCCACGCUGUAAACGAUGAGUGCUAGUUGUCGGCAUGCAUGCAUGUCGGUGACGCA
rnacentral:rRNA from 2 species